rnacentral:rRNA from 1 species
AUUGAACGCUGGCGGCAGGCCUAACACAUGCAAGUCGAACGAGUGGCGGACGGGAGAGUAAUGUCUGGGAAACUGCCCGAUGGAGGGGGAUAACUACUGGAAACGGUAGCUAAUACCGCAUACCAGCGGAUGUGCCCAGGUGGGAUUAGCUAGUAGGUGGGGUAACGGCUUACCUAGGCGACGAUCCCUAGCUGGUCUGAGAGGGUGAACAGCCACACUGGAACUGAGACACGGUCCAGACUCCUACGGGAGGCAGCAGUGGGGAAUAUUGCACAAUGGGCGAAAGCCUGAUGCAGCCAUGCCGCGUGUAUGAAGAAGGCCUUCGGAUUGUAAAGUACUUUCAGUGAGGAGGCGUUACUCGCAGAGGAAGCCCCGGCUAACUACGUGCCAGCAGCCGCGGUAAUAC